rnacentral:lncRNA from 1 species
UGGCAUGUGAAUGUAACAGAGAAGUAGAACACAGCUUGGGCAAAAUUCGACUGCUGAGAUUCUUAGUUACCAGCCUGAGAGCCAUUCCGCUACAACGAUUGCCCACAAAAAGGCUCACAUUCACUUUCUACUUACAAUAGUAUGAUCUAUAUUACCCGGAUUCUUCAUUUUCUCCAAAGAAAACAUGGGAUAUAAAAAUGAUAAAUAACUUAUAAAAAAUUCAGCAGAGAAAAUCAAACAAAUUUAUCCAAGAAAAAGUAAAAAGAGAAUGUGAAGAAUAACCUGAUUUCACUGUGUCAAUUUGUAAGGAGAAACAAAACCCCCAGGCCCCAACAGAUUCCGAUCGUGACUGAAAAUGGUGAAGACAGAGAUGGCGUCGGAUAUUGGCGAAAUGGCCAAAGGAAUAACGAAAAUCACUGAUAAGAGUGGGAGCUUUUUUGGGUAAAAUGGAAACGAGACCUGUAUUCCUUGAGUAUUCAGUGGUGAUGAAACGGAAUAAAAAUGCCCCUAUUCCAUGC